UACGUAGGGGGCAAGCGUUGUCCGGAAUCAUUGGGCGUAAAGAGCGUGUAGGCGGCCUGAUAAGUCGGCUGUGAAAGUCAAGGGCUCAACCCUUGAAUGCCGGCCGAUACUGUCUGGCUAGAGUCCGGGAGGGGCGAGUGGAAUUCCUGGUGUAGCGGUGAAAUGCGCAGAUAUCAGGAGGAACACCAAUGGCGAAGGCAGCUCGCUGGAACGGUACUGACGCUGAGGCGCGAAAGCGUGGGGAGCGAACAGG
rnacentral:rRNA from 1 species